GAUAGGUGUUGUUUCCUGAUUUGAUAUGUGAAAUCUACAGAUAGGUAAUUAUAUUGUUUAUCACUUGAUUUACUAUAAAAGUGGGCACAGAAUAUAACAUAGAACAGUAUCCCUAUUGUAUACAGAUCUACAAUCAACAGGAUGUUUUGUUUAUUGGUAAUAACCCUGGCCAUGGUUCUGGCUCAAAAUACUGAAGCUCAGGUGAAUAUGGUUUCGGCUGCGCAAUUGGCAGUGGGGCUUGACAUAGAAACAGACCUUGCAAAUCAGAUUGUAGCACAAUUUGAUACUGACGGUGACGGUAUGUUGUCUGUUGAUGAACGAAAUGUUAAUUUUGUGGCAAUGGUUCAGACUAUACUACAGGGUGAGGGCGCAGGCAUAUCACUUGAUAUUUUGGGAAUAGAAGCAAUGAUUAAUCUUGAAGAACUCCUGAACCUAAACCUUAAUGGAGCUCUAAAUCUUGGUGGAUCUGGUAGUCUUAAUCUGGGUGGCUUGCUGGGUGGCUCUGGUGGACUAACAGGUGGACUAACUGGUGGACUAACAGGUGGACUAACUGGUGGACUUCUUAGUGGUUUAGGCAAGAAAUAAGCAUACGUAUAAAAUGAAUGAUACGUUAAUAAAAUAAUACGCAAAUUAUAAA